AUUAUCUUAGUAAAAAUAUUAUGUGGUUUUGAUAAGGCCAAGUUCCGAUUGGAGAUAAUA
rnacentral:tRNA from 1 species